rnacentral:rRNA from 1 species
GCCUACGGCCAUACCACCCUGAAAGCGCCCGAUCUCGUCUGAUCUCGGAAACUAAGCAGGGACGGGCUUGGUUAGUACCUGGAUGGGAGACCGCCUGGGAAUACCAGGUGUUGUAGGCU